CAGAAUUGCAAGCAGUGAGAUACACACACGGGUGGAGAUGAAGUUCUAUUUUCAGUAGAAAACUGAGCUCUGAAGCACCAAGUGAAGUUACCUGCAGCUUCGACACCUUCCAUUCCUCCCGGUUAUCUUGCUUCAUCAUAAAUUUGACCAUGUCACGCUCUUUGUUGGGCAUGUUAAUGGGUGAAAUGAGGGAAAAUACGUUCUGCUGGUAAAACGGCAGCGGCCUCUCUUUUAUCUUCUGCAUCACUUGUCCAAUGCUCUCAGUGACCGCCUUCAUGACGAAGUACCGAACAUCCUCAUACUCCAUGUAUUCUUGGAAGCGAGAGAUGAGCAGUGAGGCAUCCUCGUGUAUGGGGAUUAAGCCAUUAACGACCACCUUCAGGAGAUGGCGAGGGAAGGCGAUGCUGCCCUUCCACUGCUCUGCGACCAGCGGGCAUUCUGCCUCCAGCUCCACGAACUUCAUCAGGGUGCAGAGCGACGAUUCCUUGACCUGGAAGGAGUCGUGGCCCAGCAGCUCGGACAGGCUCUCCACACAGUCGUUGUAGCGGUGUCUCAUCCAUAUCUUGUAUUUCUCCUCAGCGCUGUAGUUCCCGCGCAGCGCGUCCUCCUCGGCAGGCAGACUGCCGGCGAACAGCUCUCCCCGCCGCAGCAGAGCGGCGAACAGCCGGCGGCACGUCCGUGCGGCACACAGCACGUCCUCCUCCUCCUUGGCCGCCAGCAGCUCCAGGAUCUCGAAGACGCGGUUGGCGUUGCCGCGGUCGCCCAGCACGGCCUCCAGGCUGGCGGCGAGCGCGGGCCGCGCCAUGCUGUGCUGGGGGAGCUCCGCC
rnacentral:lncRNA from 1 species